GCCAGACUCCUACGGGAGGCAGCAGUGAGGAAUAUUGGUCAAUGGCCGGGAGGCUGGACCAGCCAAGUCGCGUGAGGGAAGACGGCCCUACGGGUUGUAAACCUCUUUUGUCAGGGAGCAAAGUCACCCACGUGUGGGUGUUGGAGAGUACCUGAAGAAAAAGCAUCGGCUAACUCCGUGCCAGCAGCCGCGGUAAUACGGAGGAUGCGAGCGUUAUCCGGAUUUAUUGGGUUUAAAGGGUGCGUAGGCGGAAUGCCAAGUCAGCGGUAAAAUCGCGGGGCUCAACCUCGCUCCGCCGUUGAAACUGGCGUUCUUGAGUGGGCGAGAAGUAUGCGGAAUGCGUGGUGUAGCGGUGAAAUGCAUAGAUAUCACGCAGAACUCCGAUUGCGAAGGCAGCAUACCGGCGCCCAACUGACGCUGAAGCACGAAAGCGUGGGUAUUGAACAGGAUUAGAUACCCCCGUAAU
rnacentral:rRNA from 1 species